GACGAACGCUGGCGGCGUGCCUAACACAUGCAAGUCGAACGGAAAGGCCCUGCUUUUGUGGGGUGCUCGAGUGGCGAACGGGUGAGUAACACGUGAGUAACCUGCCCUUGACUUUGGGAUAACUUCAGGAAACUGGGGCUAAUACCGGAUAGGAGCUCCUGCUGCAUGGUGGGGGUUGGAAAGUUUCGGCGGUUGGGGAUGGACUCGCGGCUUAUCAGCUUGUUGGUGGGGUAGUGGCUUACCAAGGCUUUGACGGGUAGCCGGCCUGAGAGGGUGACCGGCCACAUUGGGACUGAGAUACGGCCCAGACUCCUACGGGGGGCAGCAGUGGGGAAUAUUGCACAAUGGGCGGAAGCCUGAUGCAGCAACGCCGCGUGCGGGAUGACGGCCUUCGGGUUGUAAACCGCUUUCGCCUGUGACGAAGCGUGAGUGACGGUAAUGGGUAAAGAAGCACCGGCUAACUACGUG
rnacentral:rRNA from 1 species